AUAAAAGUAUGAUCAACACGACAAAAAAUCGAUAUCAUUAAAAUUUUAUAUUUACUAAAUGCAUUUCUAGAUUUAUCCUCAGCUCAAAUUAUUAAGAUUACGAAUUCGUAGUUGGUACCCGAGACCCAAGUUCGAAUCCUAAUUUAUUCACAUUUCUAGCUAUGUUUAUUUCUAGCUAUAUUUAUUUCUAAAUGAAAUAAAUAAAGCGGAUAGCGGACU
rnacentral:lncRNA from 1 species